rnacentral:rRNA from 1 species
AGCAGCCGCGGUAAUUCCAGCUCCAAUAGCGUAUAUUAAAGUUGUUGCAGUUAAAAAGCUCGUAGUUGAAUUUCGGGAUCAAAUUGUCGGUCGUGCCUCGGUACGUACUGGUAUUAUUGGUUCCUCCCUUCUGACGAACCACGAUGUCAUUAAUUUGGUGUCAUGGGAAAUCAGGACUGUUACUUUGAAAAAAUUAGAGUGUUUAAAGCAGGCUCGCGCUUGAAUACAUUAGCAUGGAAUAAUGAAAUAGGACGUUUGAUUCUAUUUUGUUGGUUUCUAGGAUCGACGUAAUGAUUAAUAGGGAUAGUUGGGGGCAUUAGUAUUCAAUUGUCAGAGGUGAAAUUCUUGGAUUUAUUGAAGACUAACUACUGCGAAAGCAUUUGCCAAGGAUGUUUUCAUUAAUCAAGAACGAAAGUUAGGGGAUCGAAGACGAUCAGAUACCGUCGUAGUCUUAACCAUAAACUAUGCCGGCUAGGGAUCGGAUGAUGUUAAUUUUUUAAUGACUCAUUCGGCGCCUUAC